CAGUCGCCGCGGGAAUACGGAGGAUGCAAGCGUUAUCCGGAUUCAUUGGGCGUAAAGGGUCCUGAGGUGGCCUGCUUAGUCUACUGUGAAAGCUCAGGGCUUAACCCUGGCAAUGCGGUGGAAACUAGCAGGCUAGAAUACGGUAGGGGCAGGGGGAAUUCCCGGUGUAGCGGUGAAAUGCAUAGAUAUCGGGAGGAACACCAAAGGCGAAGGCACCCUGCUGGGCCGAUAUUGGCACUGACAGACGAAAGCUAGGGGAGCAAAGAGGAUUAGAUACCCCCGUAGUCCCUGUCUCUUAUAC
rnacentral:rRNA from 1 species